CAACAGGUGCUUUCCGAACAGCGCUUAUUAACUCAUUAUAAAAGCAUUUUCAGAGCAGUUCGAUUUGCUUUUGCUGCAAAGCAUUUCAAUUGCCUCCGACACUCGCACUCGCAUUUCGAAAUGCGUGCUCGGUCGCUGGUGCUUUUGCUUUGCUUUUGCUGUGCUUUUGCCGAUCUUGCUGCCGUGUCCGGCUGCUGCGACCUUCAAUUGCUCUGGCAGCGGAAAGGGUGACUCAAGCGAACAAGUGGCAAAUAACAGGAAACUGCUUCUUGCUCCUUUGCCGCAAACGAACACUUUGUGCAAUGCAAAUUUAAUUUGCUAAAUGAUUUUGCCGGGACCGGGCGGAUAUCUGGGAAACUUGUUUUGCUUAAUGAGAAUUUUUUCCAACCAUUCCCCAGUGGAGUGUGUUUCUAUAUGUGCAAUGGCGGCAUUUCCACGCUUGUGCGGCAGAUGCAAAUGUCACCAAAGUCAGCCCAGUCAUCGUGGAUGGGCGUGGAAUGAGCUGCACUUGGUCUGUAACGGAAGGUGCAGCAGGCCUUCGACAAAAAUCCGUUGCAUAUUCCAAUGAAAAUUCCUGGGGAAAUUCAAUCCUGCCGGUUUCUAUAACGAAUUGAUACUUCCGCAGCUGAAUUGAAAAAAGUGCCCAAAUCAAAUCGUUCCCACCAACAUUCCCAGACCCAAAACUGCGGUAUAUGGCAUAUUUCUUUCUAAGUAGGGCUAUCGAGGUUUCGCACACUAUGACCGUGGAGCGAUAUAGCGAUAUGCGAUACAUUUGUCAUACUCCACUCCAUAUGCCGUGAGUCGAGAAACUGCCGAGAUCAGCUGAUUUUCCGGGGUCCCAACAUGAAUAUGAAUGGGGAGAAUUUGAUAUGAUACUUUGCCUUUAAUUACUUCACUUGAAAGUUGGCCAUUGUACGUCAAUUGAGUCAUCAUCAUUAUCCGUGCACCCGAGUCCAAAAGCCCGAUAAUAAAUAACAAAAGCAUUUGGGGGCUGCGCUGCGGUUAUUGGAUACACAAGCGGAUAUACAACACUCCCCAUCAGAACUUUGGAAACGGGAAUGGGGGCCUGGGCAGGAACUGGGCUGCCCGACAAAUGUUUCUCAUAAACCACAAUUUGAUAUCUGCAAACAGAACUUGAGAACUUGAACUUGAACGGCGAUGCAAAUGCGAGAAAAAGUUUCUUAUCAGCAUUAUGCGUUUUACAAGAAGUAAGCAAUAUUAUUCCAACCUAAUAGCGAUCAAAUAAACGGACAAUGUGAAGGGGAUUUCCAGUGUUUGCUCUCUAUCGUUCAAAUAUUUAGGCCAAUAAAACAAAAGCUGUGCAAUCUAUUUAGAUAUAUUUACAUAAUUAAAAUAGGUAAAUAAAUAAAUUGAAUGUAU
ensembl:ncRNA lncRNA:CR43417 long non-coding RNA:CR43417